GCUUUAUAAUUAUUUUUCAAUUGUAAACACAAACCUGAAAACUAUCACUCAAUUUCAGAGUGAACAGCAUUUGAUUGUGUAGCCCCAAGAUAGACAAAGUUAUCAAGAAAUGGACGGACUUUAAGACGCACAACAACAACCAUGUGUGAAUGAUGAGAUCUCAUCCAUCACAUCAGUUGAACAAAAGUUGGAAAUCCGCGAAACAGCGCAUGUGAGGCCCAGUCAUUUGAGUGGAUAGUGUUCCACUUCAUUGUUCCCUAGCUGUAGAGUUGUUGGAGAAAACCCUGUAUUGUUAUGUUACAAAGAUAAUUAAAUAAAGGAGUAGAAUUUA